rnacentral:miRNA from 1 species
GAGAGGUACGGAAUGCUUGUAUG